UCUCGGGUCCUUCAUCAAUCGGUUUACGCCGGCGUAGUCUGAUAACAAAAAGCAAGAGGCGUGGAAUCGAUCGCAAAGGACUUAACGAAAAUUUUACGCUUCAUUGAUCCUGCGAGAUCGUUCUGUCGCACGUCCCAUCUAGCGCGGACCAAAGUAUCAUCGUCUAUCGCGUAAUAUUUCUUUCCUCUCUCGAGCUUUUUCCCUCGAUCCUAUAUAAUCAUAGUGAAGAAAAGAAAAAGAAAAAGAAAAAGAGAAAAAAAAGAUAAAGAAAAGAAAUGUAACGAAGAAGAAAUAAGGACAUAAGAAAAUCAGCUCGAUCUUCGUUUACCUCGAGAAGCUCGUAAAAGCAUCGUAAAAGAACUCGAAUUCGAAAUUCUCUAUCGUCAAGAUAUCGGUACAAAAGAAAAAAAGAUUAAGGGUGCUUCGAAAAAUCUCUCUGUCCAUCGAUCUUCUCGAAGUCCCUUGUCGCACGUUCCAUCUGCGAGACGAAGCGAACGUAUCGGUGUUUUAUUAGAUCGUCGGGUAAAUUCCUCUUCUUUCUCUCUCUUUCUUUCCCCCCUCUCUCUCUCUCUUUCUUUUUCGAGAAUAACGUCAGUAUAUUAUAUCGUUCGACGUAUCUCGAUAACUCAAACUUUGUUGGUUGGUCAGUGCCGAGUAACCACUAUUGCCGGUGGCUACCAAUACUCUCGGAUGCGAAGGUAAAACUUUGAAACAACGCUGAUUCCGCAAGGAUUUUGUGCCGUAGACAUGGUCCAUUAAAACAACCACGAGGCAGUAUAUGACGACGGUAUAUCUGAUUUGAUGGACGCCAUGUCAAACUUCCCGUUGAUUGACGACAUGUUCGGACACGGAGGCUCGACCGAAACAUCACUGGUACUUCCCUCAUUUUUUCUUUCUUUUUACACAGAGAAAAAGAGAGAGAGAGGGAGAGAGAGAAAGAGAAGUUUAACGGACGUCCACUUAGCUCGUUCAGCAAACGAUGCAAUACCGUUACGAUGUAAAACGAGAUUUUAUAAAAUAAUUAGUUUUCAACGUUUUUCAAGAAUCGUUCGAGUCCCAUGUGCCCAUGGAAAUUGCGUUAUUCGGUUCUGCGACCAACAAGUCCUGGCCGCUGUAACACGACACGUCGGUUGUGUUAUUUGCGCAACGUUUAAACGAUUUCCUCUCGAAACGAUCAAGCGACUCGUUGAUCCACUCGAAUGCAUAGAAAUAUAUUGCGAUUCGUGUGAAUCGAGAGAAUACCUCUCUCGGUGUGAUACUUUCUUCUGUUUUUAUCGUACACACGGUAUCAUUGAUACGGCUUUUUAUAUACGAAAAAUAACGAUACGUUAACGCAUUCCAGAUAGAUCACGUUAUAGAUAUCUCCUGUUUCGUAUUAUGUGUUAGUUACGAAUUUUUCGUAUAAUCAAUAAUACGAUAUAACGAUUUAUUUUUUCGAUCAAGUUUAAUAUUUUUAACUGUUUAUUUAA